UUGGAGGCGUGGCAGGAGUAGGUUGCAGCCUGCUGGUGCCUAUAAUAAUGAUUGGCACCUAUAAUAAUGUGGAGACGGUCAUCAACUGGUGUAUGAUGGCACAUAGCUGCUGAUAGUCUAUACCCGGUAGUUAUUAUUACUAGUCUGCACAUUCUCAGUGGAUCCAAUUUAUUCAGCGCAGUGAAUGUAAAGAGGCUCAAUAGAAAUGUGUAAUGAGGAGACUUUGCCGAGGAUCGGUGAUCUGACAGAUACGGGAGAGAGAGACCGGGAGAAAUCUUCCCGUGUCCCAUUUUUAAUAUCUGUUAUCCAAUUUGCCAGCUGAAAACACCAAGGGCAGAUGCUUCUUCAAUGCUCAAGGGAAAACACACUUCAUAAGAAGAAGAAUAUGAAGCUCAGCCCGAAGGUCUAUGGAGAAAAUGUGAAAAUAGAUUAUUUUCAAGGGACGGAAUACUGCAUGAAAUCCUGGUCAGCUGCAGAGAAUGUAAAUGAUAUGAGAGCUUCAUCUACAAGAGACAUUACUGUAAUUCUAUUGUAUCACAA